AUACGGAGGAUGCGAGCGUUAUCCGGAUUUAUUAGGUUUAAAGGGUGUGUAGGCGGUAUUUUAAGUCAGUGGUGAAAUCUUUCAGCUUAACUGAGAAACUGCCAUUGAUACUGGAAUACUUGAGUAUAGUUGAGGUAGGCGGAAUAUGCAAUGUAGCGGUGAAAUGCAUAGAUAUUACAUAGAACACCGAUUGCGAAGGCAGCUUACUAAACUAUUACUGACGCUGAUGCACGAAAGCGUGGGGAGCGAACAGGAUUAGAAACCCUUGUAGUCC
rnacentral:rRNA from 1 species